UACGAAGGGGGCGAGCGUUGUUCGGAAUUACUGGGCGUAAAGCGCACGUAGGCGGCUUUGUAAGUUAGAGGUGAAAGCCCGGGGCUCAACUCCGGAAUUGCCUUUAAGACUGCAUCGCUAGAAUUGUGGAGAGGUAAGUGGAAUUCCGAGUGUAGAGGUGAAAUUCGUAGAUACUCGGAAGAACACCAGUGGCGAAGGCGACUUACUGGACACAUAUUGACGCUGAGGUGCGAAAGCGUGGGGAGCAAACAGG
rnacentral:rRNA from 1 species